UCCCGCCAUCUUCCGUCAGAGAAUCCCGGCUCCUGCUGCAAUAAGAGGCUGUUCUGGAAGCUCUGGGGUUCGGGUCUUUGUCCCUGCAGUCUUUUCCAGCUAUUGUGUAGAACAUUUUGGGCAGGAGAAUCUAGGACCAAGCCACAUCAGUUCUCUCCUUAACCCACUCCAUUCGACUGUUAUCACAGCUAUGCUUCCAGAGUGCUCUGUGCAUUUUCACGAUCAGCAAACAAUGAAUAAAUCUCUGUCUGAAUGAGAGUUCCUGUUGCUGCACAUUCUCAAUAUCAGUUGUUGUCAGUGCUCCAGAUUUUGGCCAUUCUACUAGGAUUCCAGAACAAUGCUACGAGGGUCUGAAUGCCUGUCCCACACAUAGGAUUCUAGAACACCCCAGCUGUCGUCUGAAUGAUUGCCCCCCACAUAUGAUUCCAGAACACUGCUGCUGCGGUCUGAAUGAUUGUACCUCACACAGGAUUCCAGAACACUCCUCCUCUAGUCUGAAUGUUUGUCCCUCAGAUAAUAUUCCGGAACACUGCUGCUGGGUUCUGAGUGUUUGUCCCUCACAUAGGAUUCCAGAACACUGCUAAGAGGGUCUGAAUGUUUGUCCUUCACAUGAGAUUGCAGAACACUGCUAAGAGGGUACGAUUGUUUCUACCUCACAUAAGAUUCCAGAACACUUCUACGAGGGUCUGAAUCUUUGUCCCAUACAUAGGACUCCAGAACACUCCUGCUGUGUUCUGAAUGUGUUUUCCUAACAUAGGAUUCCAGAACAAUGCUACGAGGGUCUGAAUGCUUCUCCCACAAGUAGGAUUCCAGAACACCCCAGCUGCAGUCUGAAUGAUUGUCCCUCACAUAGGAUUCCAGAACACUGCUGCUGGGUUCUGAGUGUUUCUCCCUCACAUAGGAUUCCAGAACACUGGUACAAGGGUCUGAAUGAUUGUACCUCACAUAGGAUUCCAGAACACUCCUGCUCUGGUCUGAAUUUUUGUCCCUCAGAUAGGAUUCCAGAACACUACUACUGGGUUCUGAGUGUUUGUCUCCCACGUAGGAUUCCACAACACUGCUACGAGGGUCUGAAUGUUUGUCCCACACAUAGGACUCCAGAACACUCCUGCUCUGGUCUGAAUGUUUGUCCCUCAGAUAGGAUUCCAGAACACAGCUUCUGGGUUCUGAGUAUUUGUCCCUCACAUAGGAUUCCAGAACACUGCUACUGGGUUCUGAGUGUUUCUCCCUCACAUAGGAUUCCACAACACUGCUAAGAGUUUCUGAAUGUUUGUCUCAUACAUAGGAUUCCAGAACACUGCUACGUGGGUCUAAAUGUUUGUCCCUCACAUAGGAUUCCAGAACACUACUGAUGUGGUCUGAAUGCUUGACCCUCACAUAGGAUUCCAGAAUAUUCCUGUUGUCUUCUGGGUGUUUGUGACUCACAAGGGUUUCCAGAUCUAUCCUGCUGUGUUCUGAAUGUUUCCCCCUCAGAUAGGAUUCCAAAACAUUCCUUCUGUGGUCUGAGUGUUUGUCUCUCAAAUAGGAUUCCAAAACACUGCUACUGGGGUCUGAAUGUUUGUGCCUCAAAUAGGAUUCCAGAACACUGCUAUGAGGGUCUGAAUUAUUCUCCCUCACAUAGCAUUCCAGAACACUCCUGCUGUGGUCUGAAUGUUUAUGCCUCACUCAGGAUUCCAGAACAUUCCUGCUGUGGUCUGAAUGGUUGUCCCUCACUUAGGAUUCCAGAACACUGCUGUUGGGUUCUGAGUGUUUGUCCCGCACAUAAGAUUCCAGAACACUGCUACUUGGGUGUCAAUGUUUGUCCCUCAGAUAGGAUUCCAGAACACUGCUGAUGGGGUCUGAAUGCUUGUCCCUCACAUUGGAUUCCAGAACACUCCUGCUGUGGUCUGAAUGUUUGAACAUCACAUAGGAUUACAGAACACUGCUGUGGGUUUCUGAGUAUUUGUCCCUCUCAUAGGAUUCCGGAACACUGCUACGAGAGUCUGAAUAUUUGUCCCACACAUAGGACUCCAGAACACUCCCGCUGUGUUCUGAAUGUAUUUUCCUAAAAUAGGAUUCCAGAACAAUGCUACGAGAGUCUGAAUGCGUUUCCAACCCGUAGGAUUCAAGAAGACCCCAGUUGUGGUCUCAAUGAUUGUCCCUCACAUAGGAUUCCAGAACACUGCUGCUGGGUUCUGAGUGUUUUUCCCUCACAUAGGAUUCCAGACCACUGCUACGAGGGUCUGAAUUAUUCUCCCUCACAUAGGAUUCCAGAACACUCCUGCUGUGGUCUGAAUGUUUGCCCCUCACUUAGGAUUCCAGAACACUGCUGCGGGGUUCUGAGUGUUUGUCCCUCACAUAGGAUUCCAGAACACUGUUACGAGGUUCUGAAAGUUUGUCCCUCACGUAGGAUUCCAUUACACUAGUGCUGUGGUCUGAAUGGUUGACACUCACAUAGGAUUCCAGAACAUUCCUGCUGUAUUCUGAAUGGUUGACCCUCACAUAGGAUUCCAGUACAUUCCUGCUGUGGUCUGGGUGUUUUUGCCUCACAUGGGAUUUCAUAACAAUCCUGCUGUGGUCUGACUGUUUGUCCCUCACAUAGGAUUCCAAAACAUUCCUGCUGUGGUCUGAGUGUUUGUACCACAAAUAGGAUUCCAGAAUACUGCUACUGGUGUCUGAAAGUUUGUCCCUCACAUUGGAUUACAGAACACUGCUAACAGCGUCUGAUUUAUUCUCCCUCAUAUAGGAUUCCAGAACACUCCUGCUGUGGUCUGAAUGUUUGUCCCACUCUUAGGAUUCCAGAACACUGCUGUUGGAGUCUGAGUGUUUGUCCCUCAUGUACGAUUCCAGAACACUGCUACGUGGGUCUAAAUGAUUUUCCCUCACAUCAGAUUCCAGAACACUGCUACGAGGCUCUGAAUGUUUGUCCCACACAUAGGACUCCAGAACACUCCUGCUUUGUUCUGAAGGUAUUUUCCUCACAUAGGAUUCCAGAACAAUGCUACAAGGGUCUGAAUGUUUGUUCCACACGUGGGAUUCCAGAACACCUCAGUGGUUUUCUGAAUGAUUGUCCCACACAUAGGAUUCCAGAACAAAGCUGCUGGGUUCUGAGUGUUUGUCCUUCAAAUAUGUUUCCAGAACACUCCUGCUCUGGUCAGAAUGUUUGUCACUCACUGAAGAUUCCAGAUCCCUGUUCUUGGGUACUGAGUGUUUCCCCCCCCAUACGAUUCCAGAACAUUGCUACGUGGGUCUAAAUGUUGGUCCCUCCCAUAGAAUUCCAGAACACUGCUACGAGGUUCUGAAUGCUUGUCCCGCACAUAGGACUCCAGAACACUCCUACUGUGUUCUGAAUGUUCUUCCUCACAUAGGAUUCCAGAACAAUGCUACGAGGUUCUGAAUAUUUGUCCCACACCUAGGGAUCCAAAACACCCCAACUGGGGUCUGAAUGACUGUCCCUCACAUAGGACUCCAGAACACUGCUGCUGUGUUCUGAAUGUUCUUCCUCACAUAGUAUUCCAUAACAUUGCUAUGAGGGUCUGAAUGUUUGUCUCACACAUAGGGACCCAGAACAUCCCAGAUGUGGUGUGAAUGAUUGUCCCUCACAUAGGAUUCCAGAACGCAGCUGCUGGGUUCUGAGUGUUUCUCCUUUACGUAGGAUUCCAAAACAUUGCUACUGGGAUCUGAAUUUUUCUCCCUCACAUAGGAUUCCAGAACUCUGCUAUGAGGAUCUUAAUUAUUCUCCCUCACAUAGGAUUCCAGAACACUCCUGUUGUGGUCUGAAUGUUUGUCCCUCACUUAAGCUUCCAGAACACUGCUGUCGGGUUCUGUGUGUUUGACCCUCACGUACGAUUCCAAAACACUGCUACGUGUGUCUAAAUGUUUUUCCCUCACAUAAGAUUCCAGAACACUGCUAUGAGGGUCUGUAUGUUUGUCCCGCACGUAGGUCCGCAGAACACUACUGCUGUGUUCUGAAGGGUUUUUCCUCACAUAGGAUUCCAGAACAAUGCUACAAUGGUAUAAAUGAUUGUCCCUCACAGAGGAUUCCAGCACACUUCUUCUGGGUUCUGAAUGUUUCUCCCUCACAUAGGAUUACAGAACACUCCUUCUAUGAUCUGAAUGUUUGUCCCUCACUUAGGAAUGCAGAACACUGCUGUUGGGUUCUGACUGUUUGUCCUUCACGUACGGUUACAGAACACUGAUACAUGGGUGUAAAUGUUUGUCCCUCACAUAGGAUUCUAGAACACUGCUACAAGGGACUGAAUGUUUGUCUCGCACAUAGGACUCUGGAACACACCUAGUGUGUUCUGAAAGUAUUUUCCUCACAUAGGAUUCCACAGCAAUGCUACGUGAGUCUGAAUCUUUGUCCCAAACCUAGGACUCCAGAACAACUCAGCUGUGGUCUGAAUGAUUGUCCCUCACAUAGGAUUCCAGAACACUGCUGCUGGGUUGUGAGUGUUUCUCCCUCACAUGGUAUUCCAGAACACUGCUACUGUGGUCUGAAAGUUUUUCCCUCACAUAGGAUUGCAGAACACUGCUACGAGGGUCUGAAUUAUUCUCCCUCACAUAGGAUUCCAGAAGAUUCCUUCGUGGUCUGUAUGUUUGUCCCUCAAUUAGGAUUCCAGGACACUGCUGUAGGGUUCCAAGUGUUUGUCUCUCACUUGCGGUUCCAGAACACUGCUCCCUGGGUCUAAAAGUUUGUUCCUCACAUAGGAUUGCAGAACAGUGCUACAAGGGUCCGGGUCUGAAUGUUUGCCCCACACAUAGGAUUCCAGAAUGCCUCAACUGUGGUAUGAAUGAUUGUCCCUCAUAUAGGAUUCCACAAUACUACUACUGGGUUAUGAGUGUUUCUCCCUCACAUGGCAUUCCAGAACACUGCUACGAGGGACUGAAUGUUUGUCCCGCACAUAGGACUCCACAACACUCCUGUUGUGUUCUGAAUGUAUUUUCCUCAAAGAGGAUUCCAGAAAAAUGCUACGCGGGUCUGCAUGUUUGUCCCACACGUAGGACUCCAGAACACCCCGGCUGUAGUCUGAAUGAUUGUCCCUCACAUAGGAUUGCAGAACACUGCUUCUGGGUUGAGCAUUUCUCCCUCACAUAGGAUUCCAGAACACUGCUACGAGGGUCUGUAUUAUUCUCCCUCACAAUGGAUUCCAGAAUAUUCCUUCUGUGAUCUGUGUGUUUUUCCCUCAAUUAGCAUUCCAGGACACCGCUGCUGGGUUCUGAGUGUUUCUCCCUCACAUAGGAUUGCAGAACCCUGCUACUGACAUCUGAAUAUUUGUCCCUCACAAAGGAUUCCAGAACACUGCUGCAAUGGUCUGAAUUAUUCUCCCUCACAUAGGACUCCAGGACACUCCUACUGUGGUCUGAAUGUUUUUCCCUCACUUAGGACUCCAAAACACUGCUGUUGGGUUCUGAGUGUUUGUCCCUCAUGUACGAUUCCAGAACACUGCUACGUGCUUCUAAAUGUUUGUCCCUCACAUAGGAUUCCAGAACACUACCAUGAGAGUAUGAGUGUUUGUCAUGCACAUAGGACUCCAGAACACUCCUUCUGUGUUCUGAAUGUUCUUCCUCACAUAGGAUUCUGGAACAAUGAUACGAGGGUCUGAAUGUUUGUCCCACACGUAGGAUUCCAGAACACCCCAGCUGUGUUCUGAAUGAUUGUCCCUUACAUAGAAUUCCAGAACACUGCUGCUGUGGCCUGAAUGUUUGUUCCUCACAUAGGAUUCCAGAACUCUCUUGCUGUGGUCUGAAUGUUUGUCCCUCCUAUAGGAUUCCAGAACACUGCUGCUGUGUUCUGAAAGGUUGACCCUUACAUAGGAUUCCAGAACACUCCUGUUGUGGUCUGGGUGUUUGUGCCUUACGUGGGAUUCCAGAACAAUCCUGCUGUGGUCUGCAUGAUUCUCCCUCACAUAGGAUUCCAAAACAUUCCUGCUGUGGUCUGAGUGUUUGUCCCACAAAUAGGAUUCCAGAAUACUUCUACUGUGGUCUGAAAGUUUGUUCCUCACGUAGGAUUCCAGAGCACUGCUACGAGGGUCUGAAUGUUUGUCCCACACAUAGGACUCCACAACACUCCUGCUGUCUUCUGAAUGUUCUUCCUCACAUAGGAUUCCAGAACAUUACUACGAGGGUCUGAAUGUUUGUCCCACACCUAGGGAUCCAGAACACCCCAGCUGUGGUCUGAAUGAUUGUCCAACACAUAGGAUUCCAGAACACUGCUGCUGGGUUCUGAGUGUUUCUCCCUCACUGAGGAUUCCAUAACACUGCUACUGGGGUCUGAAUUUUUUUCCCUCAGAUAGGAUUCGAGAACACUGCUACAAGGGUCUCAAUUAUUCUCCCACACAUGGGAUUCCAGAACACUCCUGCUGUGGUCUGAAUGUUUGUCCCUCACUUAAGAUUCCAGAACACUGUUGUUGGGUUCGGAAUGUUUGUUCCUCACGUACGAUUCCAGAAGACUGCUAUGUGGGUCUAAAUGUUUUUCCCUUACCUAGGAUUCCAGAACACUGUUUCGAGGGUCUGUAUGUUUGUCUCGCACAUAGAUCUCCAGAAUACUACUGCUGUGUUUUGAAGGUGUUUUUCUCACAUAGGAUUCCAGAACAAUGUUACAAUGGUCUGGAUGAUUGUCUCUUACAUAGGAUUCCAGAACAUGGCUUAUGGGUUCUGAGUGUUUCUCCCUCACAUAGGAUUACAGAACACUCCUUCUGUGGUCUGAAUGUUUGUCGCUCACUUAGGAAUCCAGAACACUGCUGUUGGGUUCUGAGUGUCCCUCACGUAGGGUUACAGAACAAUUCUACAUGAGUCUAAAUGUUUGUCCCUCACAUAGGAUUCCAGAACCGUGCUAUGAAGGACUGAAUGCUUUUUCUUCAUAUAAGACUACAGAACACUCCUGCUGUGUUCUGAAUGUAUUUUAUUCACAUAGAAGUCCCGAACAAUGCUACAAGGUUCUGAAUCUUUGUUCCACACUUAGGAUUCUAGUACACCCUAGCGGUUUUCUGAAUGAUUGUCCCACACAUAGGACUCCAGAACACUGCUGCUGGGUUCUGAAGCUUUCUCCCUCAAAUAGGUUUCCAGAACUCUCCUGUUGUGGUCAGAAUGUUUGUCCCUCACUGAGGAUUCCAGAUCCCUGCCCUUGGGUACUGAGUGUUUGCCUCACAUAGGAUUCCAGAACACUGCUACUGUGGACUGCAUUUAUAUCCCGCAUAUAGGCUUCCAGAACACUCCUGCUGUGUUUUGAAAGUAUUUUACUCACACAGGAUUCCAGAACAACGCUACUAGCGUGUGAAUGUUUCUUUCACAUGUAGGAUUUCAGAGCACCCCAGGUGUGAUCUGAAUGAUUGUCCCUCCCAUAGGAUUCCAGAACACUGCUGCUCAGUUGUGAGUGUUUCUCCCUCACAUAGGAUUCCAGAACACUACUGCUGUGGUCUGAAUGUUUGUCCCUCACAUAGGAUUCCAGAACACUGCUACGAGUGUCUGAAUUAUUCUCCCUCACAUAGGAUUCCAGAAGAUUCCUGCUGUGGUCUGAAUGUUUGUCCCUCACUUGGGAUUCUAGGACACUGCUGUUGGGUUCUGAGUGUUUGUCCCUUAUGUAAGAUUCCAGAACACUGUUCCGUGGGUUUAAAUGUUUAUCCCUCACAUAGGAUUGCAGAAUACUGCUGUGAGGUUCUGAAUGUUUGUCCCGCACAAUGGACUCCAGAAAUCUCCUUCUGUGUUCUGAAUGUAUUUACCUCACAUAAAAUUCCAGAACAAUGCUAA
rnacentral:lncRNA from 1 species